CAAUAGCGUAUAUUAAAGUUGUUGCGGUUAAAAAGCUCGUAGUUGGAUUUCUGCCGAGGACGACCGGUCCGCCCUCUGGGUGAGUAUCUGGUUCGGCCUGGGCAUCUUCUUGGAGAACGUAUCUGCACUUGACUGUGUGGUGCGGUAUCCAGGACUUUUACUUUGAGGAAAUUAGAGUGUUCAAAGCAGGCCUAUGCUCUGAAUAGCUUAGCAUGGAAUAAUAGAAUAGGACUUCGGUACUAUUUUGUUGGUUUCUAGGACCGAAGUAAUGAUUAAUAGGGACAGUUGGGGGCAUUUAUAUUCCAUUGUCAGAGGUGAAAUUCUUGGAUUAACGGAAGAUAAACUACUGCGAAAGCAUCUGCCAAGGAUGUUUUCAUUGAUCAAGAACGAAAGUUAGGGGAUCGAAGACGAUCAGAUACCGU
rnacentral:rRNA from 1 species